AGCAUGUCCAUCUUUCUCCACGGAAUCUGCCAGAGCCCCCCUGAGGGCCAGGAACAUAGUGAUCAUCUAUACAUUUCUAAUAAAAGGAUGAAUGAAUGAGUGACAAAUGAAUGGGCAUAAUUAUCUCACUGACUACUUUCUGCCUGAAGUUGACAAGACUUCCAGGAACAUUGGAACACUUUGAAUCAAGCAUCACAUAUCAGAGAAAUGAUUAUCUAACUACGGAGACGACAGGCAAAUACCCUCAGAAGGUCACAAAAAUGAAAACUCAAGGCAAAUACUAGACAUGGUGCCUCUUGAUUUAAAGCAGCCUAUUUCAUGACAGUCCUGACCAUUUUAUAGAUGUCAUGGGAAUAGUAGUAACUAAAUUACAGUGCUCUCUCUUUGAGAGAAUCUCAGGAAGAUGAUUUUGUAUCAGACAUGCAUUUGGUUUUGCUUUUCUUGAAGACACAGUAUAUCAUAUAACCAUCAGCUUUUCUUCUGCCAUUGGCUCCUGUCAGGUUUGGAAUCCAACAAGCAGCUCAUUUCCAGCAAGUCUUUUGACUAACAAUUUACACUUCUGUUUUGGUCUCAGUCCUGCCCAAAUUUAUCUUUCUACCCUUGUAUUCCUUUUUGCUUUUUUACCUACUUCUAAUGUAUGUUAUUAGUUUGUAGCAUUUUUUAUAAACUGCCAUACAUGUUUUGAAGUAAUGGAGAAAGACCUUCAAGAUGACGGAGGAGUAAGAUGUGGAGAUCACCUUCCUCCCACAAAUACAUCAGAAAUACAUCUACACGUGGAGCAAUAGCUAGCCGGGAGG